rnacentral:misc_RNA from 1 species
ACAAACUUGGUCAUUUAGAGGAAGUAAAAGUCGUAACAAGGUUUCCGUAGGUGAACCUGCGGAAGGAUCAUUACCGAGUGAGGGUCCUCGUGGCCCAAUCUCCCAACCCUUGUGUUUAAUUAUACCACGUUGCUUCGGCGGGCCCGCCCCUCCGGGGGCCGCCGGACGAGGACUCACCUCCUGUCUGGCCCGUUGCCCGUCGAUAGCCCGACCACAAACUCUUGAUAAAACCUGUCGUCUGAGUAUAAAUGAUAAAUUAAAUCAAAACUUUCAACAACGGAUCUCUUGGUUCUGGCAUCAAUGAAGAACGCAGC